rnacentral:lncRNA from 1 species
ACUUAACAGUGCACAUUUUAACCACAGGAGAAAAAGUGUCAGUGAAAUCAAUACCUUCAACCUGAGUAUCACCUCUGAUAACAAGUCUAGCUUUAUACCUUUCAACACUGCCAUCAGCCUUGUAUUUAAUUUUAUAAACCCAUUUGCAGCCAAUGGGUUUCUUACCAAGAGGAAGAGGAACGACAUCCCAAGUAUGGUUUGUAGCCAAAGCAUCAAACUCCUUUUUCAUGGCAUCCUGCCAAGCUGGAACAGAUGCAGCUUGAGAGUAAUAUAAAGGUUCAGAUUCCAAAGAAAAGGAAGAGGAUCCAGAAAAGGCAGGAAGUUGGCAGACAUACUCCUUAAGGUAAGAGGGAGGAUUAUGAUGUCUUGUAGAUUUUCUGGGAGCAGGAAUAGAUGGGGAAGAUGCCAAGGGAGGAGGAGAGAUAUCAGGAUUGAAGGAAGGAAUGGGAGCUAGAUCAGUAGAAUCUGGAGCAAUAUAAGGAGGCUCUGGAACAGUUGUAGGAGGAAGAGGAGAGGAAAUAGGUAUGGAAGGGUCUGGAUCAUUGGAAAGUUCUACAGGAGGAAUAAAAGGAAAGGAUGAAGGAGAAGGAUGAACAGAAGGUGAUGCAGUCUUAAAGGGAAAACAAGUUUAAUGAAAUAUAACAUCCCUGGAAACAAAACAUUUCUUGGAAGCAAGAUCAUACAGUUUAUAACCCUUUUUUGGCAAAGGGAUACCCCAGGAAAACACAAGAAAUGGCUCUAGGCCUUAACUUGUCCCUUAAGAUCAUACAAUUUAUAGCCAUUUUUUGCAAAGGGAUACCCCAGGAAAGCACAAGAGAUGGCUCUAGGCCUUAACUUGUCCCUUUGAGGAAUUGGGACAGUAGUAUAGGCAAGGCACCCAAAUGCUCUCAAGUGAGAAUAGGUUGGAGCUUUCCCAUACAAAAUUUCAUUAGGAGAUUUAUUGUGAAGCAAUCUGGAUGGUAUUCUAUUAAGGAGGUAAGUGGCAUUCAACAAACAGUCCCCCCCAGAAAGAUAUAGGUAGUCCAGAUUGGAAAAGUAAAGCUCUACAUGUUUCAAUGAGGGUUCUAUGCUUUCUUUCAACAACACCAUUCUGUUGAGGAGAAUGAGGGCAGGUGGUUUGAUGAAUAAUCCCUUGGCUACUAAAGAAAGAUGUACCCUCAAUGCUAGAUCCCAAUUCUAAAGCAUUGUCACUUCUAACAGUUUGAACCACAACAUUAAAUUGGGUUUUAACUAGAGAAAGGAAUGACUUAAGCAGAGAAAAGGCAUUGCAGCUAGACCCCAAUUCUAAAGCAUUGUCAUUUCUAACAGUUUGAACCACAGCAUUAAAUUGGGUUUUAACCAAACAUAGGAAGGACUUAAACAAAGAAAAAGCAUUGCUUUUAGAUCCCAUUAAGUGUGUCCAGGUAGCCCUAGAGAAAUCAGCAACAAUUGUAAGGAAAUAUCUACAACCAGAAGAAGUAGGAGUAUGAUAAGGCCCCCAAGUAUCCACAUGAAUUAGUUGAAAAGGUCUAGAAUUGCUUAAUAGAACUAUCAGGAAAGGGGAGUCUAGUCUGUUUUGCCAUGGGACAAAUAGAACAGGGGAAAGGUUGUUUAGAAGCAAAUGGAAAAGUCAAACCAUAAAUGUGUCUCAUAUUUGUAAAAGAAGUAUGGGCAAGUCUUAAAUGCCAAAUGUAGUUCAUGUCAGUUGUAACAACAUUAUUACAGAUGGAACCAUGUACAUUUGAGGACAAGCUAACAGUCUUGUUAUCAGACAAAAUGUCAUCAUUACAAGAAGCAGACACAGGACUUACAGAAGUAGAUGAACAAUUAAUGGAAGAAGAAGGGGAAGGUAGAACCCAAGCCAGUUUAUACAAGCCAGCAUCUUCUCUACCAAGAUCCAGAGGCCUCCUCAGAGAAGGGUCCUGUAUCAUGUGGAGGAAGCAAGAAUUUUUAGUGAACAGAACUACACAAUGCAACUAUUUCACUAACUUGUGGACAGAAAUCAAGUUUUGUUUAAAGGAAGGAACCAGCAACACAUUGUGAAGUGUAAUGAAUGGAGUUAGUGCAAAACAACUUGUGCAUGUCACUUUCAUUUUAUAGCCAUUUGGAAGAGUCACAAGAUAGGGCACAGGUAAAGGUGUGAUGUUAGAGAGUAAAUGUUUAUCAUGUGUCAUAUGAUUAGAAACACAUGAAUCUAUGAUCCAGGUGACAGAAUUAAUGUGGGUAAGCAUGCAAAGUUUGGAAUCAGAAAUGGGGCUCUCAGUUAGCAUAGUACCAGCAAAGUUAGCAGCAUACAUGGGAGGAGGAGUCUGAGCAGUGGAGUCC